rnacentral:rRNA from 1 species
GGACAGAAAGACCCUAUGAAGCUUUACUGUAACUUGAGAUUGAAAUUGGACUUUAUUUGCGCAGUAUAGGUGGGAGGCUUUGAAGAUAUUCUUGAGGGAAUAUUGGAGCCAUCAGUGAGAUACCACUCUUGUAAUGUUAGAUUUCUAACUUUGUAUCAUUAUCUGGUCAAAGAACAGUUUCAGGCGGGCAGUUUGACUGGGGCGGUCGCCUCCUAAACGGUAACGGAGGCGCACAAAGGUUUCCUCUGAACGGGUAGAAAUCGUAUCUAGAGUGUAAAGGCAUAAGGAAGCUUGACUGUGAGACCUACAAGUCGAGCAGGGACGAAAGUCGGUCUUAGUGAUCUGACGGUGCUGAGUGGAAAGGCCGUCACUCAACGGAAAAAGUUACUCUAGGGAUAACAGGCUGA